AGUAACGCGUGAGGAACCUGCCUCAAAGAAGGGGGACGAACAGUUGGAAACGACUGCUAAUACCGCAUAAGCCCACGGGUCGGCAUCGACCAGAGGGAAAAGGAGCAAUCCGCUUUGAGAUGGUCUCGCGUCCGAUUAGCUAGUUGGUGAGGUAAUGGCCCACCAAGGCGACGAUCGGUAGCCGGACUGAGAGGUUGAACGGCCACAUUGGGACUGAGACACGGCCCAGACUCCUACGGGAGGCAGCAUG
rnacentral:rRNA from 1 species